UUUUGAGACAGCAUCUCUCUCUCUCUCUCUCUGUUGCUGAGGCUGGAGUGCAGUGGUGCAAUCACAGAUCACUGCAGCCUUGAACUCUUGGGCUCAAGCAUCCUCCUGCCUCAGCCUCCUAAGUAUCUGGGACUACAGGUGCAUGCCACCAUGCCCAGCUAAUUUUAAUUUUUUGUAGAGACACGGUCUCCCUAUGUUGCCCAGGCUGGUCACAAACUCCUGGCUUUAAGCAGUCUCCCUGCCUCAGCCUCUGAAAACGCUGGGAUUCCAGGGGUAAGCCACUGCACCUGGCGAGAAAUCUGCAUUUUUAAAGAGCUUUUUCAGAAGGUUCAUUUAUGGUCAGCCAGGUUUGAAAACCACUGACUGAGAAGGUACUGGAAGGUUCUGGCCUCAGCCUCAUCAUCAUUGAGAUCAAAGGGUUCCUGGAAGGUCUCAGAGAUGGCAUGGUCACCAUGCUAAUUCUAGCCCAAGUGGAGCAGGAAUGUGUGUGUCUGGGUGCACACUGCUGAGUCCAGCUCUCACUGGGAACUCAAGGGGACUCUAAACCUGUGGCUUCCAUCCUGAGGGCUCUGGGAACUAGCUUUGCGCAUUCAUAUGCAGUCCAAGCCCCUUAUACCCUCCAGUGUUGUUUUUCAAAAUGUAUACCUGUGCUCAUGGUGCCUACGUUAAAAACACCGCUAACCUCAGAGCAGCUUUUUACAAACUUAUAUCUCCAUCAACACUUACUAGAAGUGUACCUACUAUUAACAUGUGUAUUGGGUAGAGGACCAAUGUGCAAAUUUAAAAUAUAUGUAUAUUAAAUAGAGCUCUUCAAGCAUGGACAGGCUGGGAAGUCCUGGGGAGAGGGCCUCCCUGAAGCCAGUGGCUACCUCUGAGUUAAUGAGCAGCUGGGUGGCUGCUGCCCUGACCGCUGGGCAGGCAGUCACCCCACUCCCACCCCACUCGGGUGACAGCUGGCCCGGGGGCAGUCCAGGACUUGAGUCAUCCCAGUCUGUGACAGGGAGGGCAACGUUAGAGAGGAGGGCCUCGGACAGAGUGAGCCUUUUGACCAUGGAACUGCCUGGGGUGAGGGUGAGGGCACCGUGGCUGCCAUCCUAGUGAAGCCCCACCCCACCCGCUACUUCAGGCUGACUCUUAGAUUCUUAGAAGAGUUCUCAGCCUGCCCAACAUUGAGUGGAAGGGUUUGGGUGUUAAUGGCCUCAAAGGCUUCUGUCAGGCCCACAAAGACACCAUGAACAAGCCCUCAAUACCUGGCCAACCGCAUGGCUGACCCCAUGGUCCUUCCCUAGGCGUGGGCAGGGGCUAUGGAGAGUGAUCUGGCCAGCGUCUGAUUCAUAGGCACAAAUCAAAACGGCCACUGAAGACCACGUGGCUUCCUGCGGGCAGGAAAGGAGAUUUCACUCCUGCGCAGCCCAAGGACACAAGAAGCCCUGGCCAUAUGGCCAUCUGGAGAGGAGAGCACACCGGACACCUGAGGCUGUGUGAGGUGAAGGCCAGCAGUGUCCGAAUGCUCUCGGAUGCCCCUGUGCUCAACAGCACGAUCCCCAGUCCCCAGGCGCCCAGCUGGGAAAUUCUGCUUGGUCUGUGGUAAAUGCCCUUUCUGAAAAGCAACCAUGACCUUCUCAAGAAUACUUCAGAGGCACUUUUGCUCCUUCUCCACUAACCGACAUCCUGUUUUGCUGGAACACAUGGGGCAGAGCGCACACAGCUUUGUUCCUGCACCCGCCCUCAGAGCUUUGCCACCUGUUUUCAGGCUGCCUCCGCCUCCAAACCCUGCAGAGCCCUCCCUGCCCCGUGCUUUGAAGCAGUUUCUUUGGAAGCUGCUGCACAGGGGUUAACGACAAGCAACAACUCAGGUCGCAUUCUUGUCAACGGAAGGGAGGGCCAGGUGGAACCGCCAAGGGGGCCAUUUCUGGCUCUGCUGGAGGCUGUCAGCUUCUGGUGGGAGCCACAGCCUGAGGGCAGCCAGGAUGGCUCUGCUGGGAGGGACACCCUGCCCAACCCUGGGAGCAGGUGACGAAGGCUCCUGGAUGCAUGGUCACAUCCCUGGGUCCCAGAGGCAGGAACAAAGCCCCCAGGGCAGGUGGGUGAAGGCUGCUGGGGGUCGGAGGGGAAGCCUUGCUGCCCAGGAGCUCAGGCCAGGCUGAAAAGGGCAAUGCCACAGAACCCCUGGAAGGAGCAGGACAGCAGACAGUGUUCCAGACGAGACUGCAGAGGGCCGGGGAGCCAAGCACCAAGGGGACGUCAGGAGGGGCCAUGAGGCCUUCUCUGAAAGCCACUGUGGCACCAGCAUUUGCGAAGGGCCUGAAUGACUCCUCUUUUAAUGGACAGGCAUCCAAGGGCUUCUGGAGAGCCACAGAAAACCUGGCGUGGAGGUUGCUGCUUGCCUUCUAGGAAUGAUCUUGGAUGUGCUGGUGGCAAUUCCCCCUCCCUUUGGUGAUCCCCCUCACAUCUGCCCCAAGCGACUUCUCCAGGGCCAGCCUUAGGAGGCAGAGAGAUCCCGCUCUGGACUGCUGUCCCAGGCCCUGAGGGUGCCAUGGGUUACAUGUGUGUUUACAUGAGUCUAUGAGUUGAAUCCCCAUAAGCCUGGGGGAAGCACCAUGUCUGAAGCAGCAGCUGCAUUUGUAAGAUGAAGAUCUGAGCCAGUUUUUCAUUAUAUCUGCAGUGUUCAUCAAGAAAGGGCCUCCGGGUUUGUGUUUACUGGACAUGAAUUGAGCUGCUCUCCAGAGAUAAGAAAAAAAUAUUACAGCCCUGCUAUGUGGGCACCCCACGGCAGCCCCCGGGGUUAAGGGGCAGCUUUCUUUCCAAGGAAUCCCAUUGCCAAAGAUGAACCUUCAGAUGGGGAAACUGAGGACCCAGAGGAAGCAAGAGCAGCCCCAGGCCACACAACCCUCUUUUUAUUAUUCAUUCACUGACUACACUGCAGAGGUUGGACCCAUAUCUCAUUAUUUGAAUAGUAAAUUGUUUUUUCUUCCUGA